rnacentral:rRNA from 1 species
UACGAAGGGGGCUAGCGUUGUUCGGAUUUACUGGGCGUAAAGCGCACGUAGGCGGAUUCUUAAGUCAGGGGUGAAAUCCCGAGGCUCAACCUCGGAACUGCCUUUGAUACUGGGGAUCUCGAGUUCGGGAGAGGUGAGUGGAAUUGCGAGUGUAGAGGUGAAAUUCGUAGAUAUUCGCAAGAACACCAGUGGCGAAGGCGGCUCACUGGCCCGAUACUGACGCUGAGGUGCGAAAGCGUGGGGAGCAAACAGGG